GGUGCGGGUCGGACGGUCGCGGGAUUUAUCCCGAGGAAAGUCCGGGCUUCCGAAGACAGCGUAGCGGGUAAUACCCGCCGCCGGGUGAUUUCCGGCCGGAUCAGAGCCACAGAGACGAGUCUCCUCCCGGGAAACCGGGCGGAGGGUGAAACGCGGCAAUCUCUACGCGAAGCAAGGCCAAGCAGGGGAGAAGCGCCUCAGGGCGCGCGCGUGUCUUCAGCGUUUGAUUCCCGGGUGGGCCGCUAGAAUUCGUCAGCAAUGGCGGAUCCAGAUGGAUGACCGUUUCCUUAAUCAGCUGCCGUCUGGCAGUGGUUGAGGCACAGAACCCGGCUUACAGGCCCGCAUCAUUU
rnacentral:RNase_P_RNA from 1 species